ACAAAGGCUCUUUUCAGAGCCACCCACCCUUUCGUGAAAGAGCCUU
rfam:Nipponia nippon contig71713, whole genome shotgun sequence.